rnacentral:tRNA from 1 species
UCCCUGGUGGCUCAGAUGGUAAAGCAUCUGCCUGCAAUGCAGGAGACCUGGGUUCGACCCUGGGUUGGGAA